rnacentral:rRNA from 1 species
ACAGCAGUAGCCGCGGUAAUGCGUAGGGUGCAAGCGUUAAUCGGAAUUACUGGGCGUAAAGCGUGCGCAGGCGGUUCUAUAAGACAGAUGUGAAAUCCCCGGGCUCAACCUGGGAACUGCAUUUGUGACCGUAGAGCUGGAGUGCGGCAGAGGGGGAUGGAAUUCCGCGUGUAGCAGUGAAAUGCGUAGAUAUGCGGGGGAACACCGAUGGCGAAGGCAAUCCCCUGGGCCUGCACUGACGCUCAUGCACGAAAGCGUGGGGAGCAAACAGGAUUAGAUACCCGCGUAGUCCCUGUCUCUUAUAC